AGAAAUUCUUGGAACAUUCCUUUUAUGAAUCGAUCAUUUUGUAUAUUAAUUCCUUUUGUCUACAAUGUGUUACGAUUUUAAAUCCAGCUACUGAAUUUUCAUUAGAAUUUUGAAGGGUGGUAGGUACGGUACAUCAUUUGACACAUUUAUUACAUUUCACAUUUUUUCAACGAACGUACUGGUGUGUGAAUACGAAAAAUGAUGAAGGUAGCGAAGGUAUUGGUGAAGGAACAGUUAUGGUUAACUCUAGAUAAAUCAGAAAUUAUAAGAUCCUGACGCAAAUGAAAUGAAAACCAACUGGCAGUGAUGAGAGAGUUUGUACACUUUUAUAAAAAAAAAUAUAAAACACCGAAGAAAAAUUAGCGAAGAGAAAUAAUAAAGAAAGCAAUGAUUACCAUAAACGAAAUGAGUAAAAUCGACGCGAAGAGAGUUGACAAUAGAUGCGAAAAAUGGUUGUCGACAUUUGAAAGUUUAGCGAAUAUGGUGGUAACAUUUAGUAUAGAAAUAUGGAGAUAGGAGAAGACAAAAAAUCUGUAUAUAAGUUGAAAAAUAUAUCGCAACGAAUAAACUGGAUUUUAUGCAUUUUUUGCAAAAAUUAGUAGAUCUAAUACGAAGUAACAAGAACAUUUGAAGACUUUUAAUCAAUCUUAACAUUCAUAUUUAACUCCUGUCUCUUGGUAUAAAUGUAGACGAUUUUUAUUUUGCAGUAAUGAAUUGAAAAAGAAAAUAUAACAGUGAAAAUAAAAAGAUAGGUCAGGUUGCAGGGAUGAGAAAAAGUAAAGGGCCAAGUGGGGAAUCAGAUAAUGAGGAAUAAUGAGGGAAGAUUCGAUCUAGAGAAAAACGAGAAGGUCUAGAGUCGGAGGAAGAAUGAGAUUUUAUGAGAAAAAUAAUUUGAAAUAUUACGAAAGAAAUAGUUUUAGAGCUAGAUUGAGAUAGAGCGACACAAGAAUGGGAACAAAACUGUGGAACAAGACAAGGAAAAAAUAGCGUCUUAGUGUUUAGUAGGUAAGACUCGUGUGAAAAUAAGAAAACGAUUUAACAAAAGACUAGGCGAAGAAAGUUAAAAAAUAUAUUUUAGAUAAACCAAAAGGGAAUAGAAUGGUUAUGGAAACUACACCGAAGAGGAACAGUACAGUAUCUCUCCAUAAUUGCAAAAACUUCGAGUCUGCAGAGUUGCAAUUAUAGAAGAUAUAGUACUGCAUUCUUUAUUGCGUUCCGAACGUAGGGAAGGAUAAUUAUAUCGUGCUUGGUGCUAUUUUAAUCAGAAAAAUAAAACGACUACUAUGGUCAAAGUUUAAUAAAAAAGAAUCGAAUAUGAGAGAGGUUCCAAUCUUUUGCUUUGCUUAUAAUAUGUGUGAGUCUCGCUGACACUCGACACGUCGCUGACUCGGUCGUUGAACGCGUUCAAUACAGUUUAAGUUUAAAACAAUGUGAAAAUGUCAUCACUAACAUACAUAAAAAUAAUGCUCACAGCAAAAAUCAACAAUAUUGAUAAUAAAAUAAAGAAGAUAGAUAAAAAUGCCGAUUUUCUUGAAAUAUCAGUUGGAGGACUCGUGCUGUUUUCGACCACGUGUCCUUAAUUGUUUUCAGAUGAACAAAAAUUUACGUUUGACAAACCUGAUAGCUGGUCGUUCUAUUUUUAUGAUCACAGAGAAGAUCAUCAGUAGGGAAUGAAAGGCAAAAUGAGGAAAAGAAGAAUUUAUGUGUUGGUGUUAAAAAUGACGAAAUGAAGAAAAUAAAUUACAUAGAGCUCAUAAUAAAAGAAUAAUAACACGUGCAAAGAAGAAUAAGUAUAGAAAAAUAUUUCUGUAUUGUGGGCUUAUAUAGCCAUACGUAGUGCUAAAAUUAUGACAAAUUGUUUUAAUACUCUAAUACAUUUUACCAUGAAUUCCAUGACAAGAAUCGUCCAAUCAUCAAUCAUAAAAAAUGCUCGGUUUUUAAUUACAUUAUUAUUUUUCUUCGAGAUAUCUCGUAAUUUUAUCGCGGAACAUAUUUUGAAAACCAUUAUAGUUAAUUUUCUGAAUCCGUUCAAUUAAAGUUAAUUAAAGUUACAUUCGCCAAAUAAAGUUCAAUUUUAUGAGCAUGUGUAUUCAUUUAUACAUCUCUGUGUUGAAAUCGCACUGUGCUGCAGUAAACCCUCGUCAACGUAACAAUCACAGAACGUAUAUAAAUUAUUUUUGGAAAUAAAAUCACUAUUGAAAGUGGUAUUCACACAGUAUUCAUUUAAACAUCCAGUUUUAGGUCUUUUGAUAUGCCCCGAUGAAUUUGCAUAAGUAAACUUUAUUGUCAUACAACGUGACGUAUGUUCCUUUUUUAAUAUAUGUCACAAUUUCCUAUAAUUGACAUACAUCCGCUGCCGUGAAAUAAAUUCUGAUGCAACUUGCUCCAUGCGUGGCGAUGUUUGCCAAAAUUUCACGCAAAAUUUCCCCGAACUUUUCCCGUUCGAUUUGAUUAUAUUUUGAAAAACAAAACUUGGACCGGAAUUCCAUUGUUCCUGAUUUCUAACUUAUUUCGUAAGUUACAAUAUUAUUACAAAAGAAUGUCCGCUUAUAGUUAAAUAUUCUCUACAGUUCACCAUCUGAUCGGUGCAUUCGAGCACAGAACGCUCGAGUAAUAAAGCAUUUUUGACAAUAUCGAAACUUCAAACCUGCAAUUGGAACAAUCCAUAAAAUAAAUGGAUCUAUGUUACUAAUUCUUAAACUUCUUGCUUUGCUAUCGCAGCCGGUUAAUCGAUGUUAGCACCUUGCAGAAUGUGAAACACUAAUGUGUAGCAAUUAAUAAUUAGUGACAGUUUCCUAUCCCGCGUACGCUCGUAAUAUUCUACAUAUGAUGCUUCAAUUAGUUGGCCGCUGACCAUACUUUAGGAACUGUUCAUCUACCUUGUACCAUAUUGUAUCCCUACCCACAGACGAAGGGAACAAAAAAUAUGACUAACACAAUGGAAGCACUCACAGGCAAUCAUAUCCAAACGUAUAUCUAUUUUAACGCUAAAUAUAUCUUGAUAAUUGCUUCCUACUCUAUUUUGUAUAACAUUUAUACGUUGUCCUCAUUUCAUUAGGCGUAAAUUAAAUUUGAAUAAUAUUUUCACGAACCUAAUAGAAUCAUUGUUUUCAUUAACUUAUACUUAUUAGCUUAUAUAAAUAUAUCAGAAGUACAUCGUACACAAAAAGACAUUAGUUCGACCUGGGUUCCAAUCAAGUGUCCAAUAAGGUGUCAACAUUGUGUCCAAUUUUGAUAGUAAAAUUCGAAGACUUUUUUUCAUGACACAUUAUUAAUUGUGCUUCAGUUAAAAAAUAUUCAUUUUUCUACAAUAUUGAAUUUCGAAAUUGUAACUGUGUUAAAUAAGCAUAAAUUCUUAUCCAGUCAAUUUAAAACUUUGUAAGAUCCAUUUCCUGGAUAAUUGUUACAAUAUUGUAGAAUGUUAAAAAAUGCCGACAGAAAUGGUAACUGUAUUAUCAGUGCAUUAGUUUAUGAAGCUUAUAUAUGUACACAAAUGUUUGAUCACUGUACCAGCAGGUGUAAAAGAAAAUAAAGCCAUUAUCAGCGUUUGAUCCAGUAGUUUUCAUAAUUAUAACAUUCUACAUGUAAAAUGCAAUACAUUCUCAUAUUAAACAUGAAAAAAAUGUCACCACAGAAAUGUUGUGAAUUCUCCAAAUACCAUGCUAUGUGUUAUUAUUUUAAAUAAUGACAUGCAGAAACUAAUCUAAUUUUCUAAUAAGAAUCAAAAUUCUGUUUGGCAUACACAUACGUGAUGCUGAUAGCAAAUGUAUUAAUUUCCUUGACUGUAUGAUGAUGCAAAUGAAUUGAAAAGGAGAAGGAAAUAGGUAUAAAUAUAAGAUAUGUUUAGGGAGUACCAAUUCAGAAACAUGUGCCUUCAUAUCGUUAUAAAAAUGUUAAAUACUAUCUCGUAUACAAUUAUUCUGUAUUAAGAAUUAAUAAUAUUCGUAUUUCACUAUAAUCAUUAUAUGAACAGUUAAAAUUAAACAAGUUUUUUUUAGUGUUGAAAUAAAAUUUGUGAGAUAAGUCCUGACUAAUUUAUAAUUUUUCUGUACACACUAAAAUCCAUUUUUGUCAGGCGAAUAUAAUCGUUGGUAUUAGCCGAAGGGUUAACAAAUGCAUACACAGAAGAAGGAAGAAAAGAUUUCCAUGCCCAACUGGCUUAUUUAGACAUGUAUGGAUAUUUAGAUAAAGGUGAUAUAUUGGACACAGAAAAACAGAUAUACGUAUAACUAUAGGUGGCUUUUUUACUGACACAAAUUGCCGUAAAAGCGUAUUAUUGCGUUACUACUUUCUAUAAAAAAUUUCUGUUAAGGAGGUAAUAUUAUAAGUAAACGACAUUAAGGUAAAAAAUGACAGUUUAAUCAUCCAUUUAAAAUAUAUAAUUAAGUAGCGAGCUGUAGUUCGUGAACAGGGAAUAUGAAUAUGAAUAUCAAAUCAA